CACGUAGGCGGCCCUAUAAGUCAGAUGUGAAAGCCCGGGGCUUAACCCCGGAAGUGCAUUUGAAACUAUGGGGCUUGAGUAUGGGAGAGGGAAGUGGAAUUCCUGGUGUAGAGGUGAAAUUCGUAGAUAUCAGGAGGAACACCGGUGGCGAAGGCGACUUCCUGGACCAAUACUGACGCUGAGGUGCGAAGGCGUGGGGAGCAAAACA
rnacentral:rRNA from 1 species